GUAGUCGGAUUCGCAUCAAUUCACAUGUGUUGGGGUGGAUUGGAUUUGGAGUAGAAUUUGAACUACAUCCCACCCCAAUCCACUCCAACACAUGUGGAUUGAGGUAAAUCCGACA
rfam:Sorghum bicolor cultivar BTx623 chromosome 5, whole genome shotgun sequence.